rfam:Schistosoma rodhaini strain Burundi genome assembly, scaffold: SROB_scaffold0009814
AGCCUUCUUUAUUCGCGCUGAGAUUUCGUCAAACACCAGACCACAAGGGCUGAUGAAACUCCCAAGAUAAGCAAAGCG